CAUAGCGACUAUCGUGGCAUAUCAAUAAGCGGAGGAAAAGAAACUAACAAGGAUUCCCUUAGUAACGGCGAGUGAAGCGGGAAGAGCUCAAAUUUGAAAUCUUCAAGGUUCUACCUUGACGAAUUGUAGUUUAUAGAAGUGUUUUCUGUUAGUAGAGUGGCAAAAGUUCUUUGGAAUAGGACAUCAUAGAGGGUGAGAAUCCCGUAUUUGGUCAUUCUUUCUAGCUUUGUGAUACACUUUCAAAGAGUCGGAUUGUUUGGGAAUGCAGUCCAAAAUGGGUGGUAAAUUUCAUCUAAAGCUAAAUAUUGGCGAGAGACCGAUAGCGAACAAGUACCGUGAGGGAAAGAUGAAAAGAACUUUGAAAAGAGAGUUAAACAGCACGUGAAAUUGUCAAAAGGGAAGCGUUUGACACCAGUGUUGUUUUUCCGAAAAUCAAUUACGAAUGUUUUAGUUUUUAAGGAGUUAUGACUUCAUCGGCUUGCUUCUCUCUUUAUGAAACCUUCUUAAUGCACUUUUCGGUUAACAAGUCAACAUCAAUUUCUUUUGUUGUAAAAGGGUCAUGAGGAAGGUGGCUUUCUUUUCGGAGAAAGUGUUUAUAGCCUUGUAUCCUCUGCAAUCGGAGAGAUUGAGGUCUGCAGCGUAGACUCCUUCGGGGUUAAAUACAUUUGUGCUAAGUUAUAGCUUUUCAUAGACAACUUGUUGACUAUAUUUAGUCUUGUAGCUUACUCGCUUAUGCUAUUUUACCUACGCUUAGGAUGUUGAUAUGCAUGACUGAUAU
rnacentral:rRNA from 1 species